rnacentral:misc_RNA from 1 species
AACCAUAGAAACCUGCGGAGUACCUGCGGAAGGAUCAUUACAGAGUUGCAAAACUCCCUAAACCAUUGUGAACGUUACCUAAACCGUUGCUUCGGCGGGCGGCCCGGGUCCUUCCCGGCGCCCAUCGGCCCUCGCGGGCGCCCGCCGGAGGUAAACCAAACUAUUGCAUUGUAUGGCCUCUCUGAGUCUCCUGUACUGAAUAAGUCAAAACUUUCAACAAUGGAUCUCAGAUCGGAAGAG